UGGGGAAUAUUGGACAAUGGGCGCAAGCCUGAUCCAGCCAUGCCGCGUGGGUGAUGAAGGCCCUAGGGUUGUAAAGCCCUUUCGGCGGGGAAGAUAAUGACGGUACCCGCAGAAGAAGCCCCGGCUAACUUCGUGCCAGCAGCCGCGGUAAUACGAAGGGGGCUAGCGUUGCUCGGAAUCACUGGGCGUAAAGCGCACGUAGGCGGAUUGCUAAGUCAGGGGUGAAAUCCUGGAGCUCAACUCCAGAACUGCCUUUGAUACUGGCGAGCUUGAGUCCGGGAGAGGUGAGUGGAACUGCGAGUGUAGAGGUGAAAUUCGUAGAUAUUCGCAAGAACACCAGUGGCGAAGGCGGCUCACUGGCCCGGUACUGACGCUGAGGUGCGAAAGCGUGGGGAGCAAACA
rnacentral:rRNA from 1 species